rnacentral:rRNA from 1 species
AUGAACGCUUGCGGCGUGCUUAACACAUGCAAGUCGAACGAAGCACCUCUCCCGAAGCUUGACACAGCUUGCUGUAGAUUGAUUCAUUUGAGGUGACUGAGUGGCGGACGGGUGAGUAACGCGUGGGUAACCUGCCUCAUAGAGGGGGACAACAGUUGGAAACGACUGCUAAUACCGCAUAGUAAGAAGAAUUCGCAUGUUUUCUUCUUGAAAGAUUUAUCGCUAUGAGAUGGACCCGCGUCUGAUUAGCUAGUUGGUAAGGUAACGGCUUACCAAGGCGACGAUCAGUAGCCGGCUUGAGAGAGUGAACGGCCACAUUGGGACUGAGACACGGCCCAAACUCCUACGGGAGGCAGCAGUGGGGAAUAUUGCACAAUGGGGGAAACCCUGAUGCAGCGACGCCGCGUGAGUGAAGAAGUAUUUCGGUAUGUAAAGCUCUAUCAGCAGGGAAGAUAAUGACGGUACCUGACGAAGAAGCCCCGGCUAACUACGUG